ACUAAAAGAUAGUAAAUAUUAUUAAUUAUUCUGCACAUACAUGGGAACAGCAUUAGUGGUUAUAAGUGAUAAAUGAUUCAUCAGCUAUCAUUCAUGGACGUCAUUUUUGUUUCUGAGUGGGAGUUAAACAUACAAUAGAAGUGAUAGGAAUAUAAUAAUAAGCGUUUAUGUUCAAAUCAUAUAGCUGUAAAAAAAAUGAGAUUGGACGUGCGUGAAACUUUUAAUAGUUACAACCUCAACAGUUUGCGAAGUGAUCAUUCAUUUUUUGUCGUUUCCUUAAAGUUAGUUUUUUUUAAAUGUCUCCAGGUUUUCUUCUGCUUCGAUAAUGUCGACUCCACUACCCUGCAUCUGUCGAUUGAGAUGAUUGAGAGCAUCGAAAAUAUCUCGAAUGUAAGCCAAAAUGAAAAUAAACUCAGAAUUUUCUAAGUAAUCUGGGUGGCAAUGUCCGUACUCUCACAGAAACGGGACUAACUCCACACGCAUGGCAACAGAAUGGAUCAGAAGUACCUCAAAUUUCUAGCCCAUUUCCUUAAACAACUCUUUCAAAAUACGUUGCUCCAUAGCACUAUUUCGCACGUAGUUCAUACUUUCAACCACAAUUUUUUUGUGCCAUUUUUGGAGGCAAAGUUUUGUUGUCCGAACAUAUAUUCCAAGAAAGAUUAUUGUCUCUGAAGAAGCAAUUUAUGAAUUUCUACAAAUCGAUUGGAUUGGUUGUUGCUGGAAGAGGCUUACAAAAUAUAAAAAAAUCUUCCUUUAUCAAGUCUUCUCUCUAAAGUGUUUCUUCAAUUUUGCCGGUGCUAGACUAGAAUUGCUCAACUUGGCAGAGCAAAUCAUGCAUAGAGGACAAUAACUCCCAUCACGUUCCUUUAUACAUGUGAAUCCAUAUUUACAACGCAAAAAUUGCAUGAUUAGAGGGAUGGGCUACUACGGACGCCUCUGAUUAAAAGAAAAUAAUGAAUGAUGUACAAAGACUCCAGCCACAAGUUGACUACUGAAUACCUCAAAUUUCCUGCAGCCAAUGACGGACAAGGAGACCGUAACGUCAUGAAUAACACGAACUGUCUAUAUUUAUGUGUAAAACAUUUUUACAAAGCAGCUAAAUAUUUGUAAUCUAAUACGGAGAAGAAACUUUUUUGAAUCUCA
rnacentral:lncRNA from 1 species